UACAGAGGGUGCAAGCGUUACUCGGAGUUACUGGGCGUAAAGGGCGCGUAGGCGGUUAUAUAAGUCAGAUGUGAAAUCCCCGGGCUUAACCUGGGAACUGCAUUUUAGACUGUAUAACUGGAGUACUGUAGAGGGCAGUGGAAUUUCCGGUGUAGCGGUGAAAUGCGUAGAUAUCCGGAGGAACACCGGUGGCGAAGGCGGCUUCCUGGACCGACACUGACGCUGAGGCGCGAAAGCUAGGGGAGCAAACGGG
rnacentral:rRNA from 1 species